rnacentral:misc_RNA from 1 species
UUCAGUACAUUUUUUUGUAAAUUCUUUUGUGGAAUGUAAAAAUUCCAACAGAAUUACAAUGUAUUUAGACAAUUUUGCUAAAAGAAUUGCGAAGAAUUUACUGUUGUAUUCUGUGGGUUAUGAUGAGUGUAAUACCUAUAUCCUGUGAACUUAUAAUUAGACAUAAUUGAUUGUUUACCUUAGCGUAAUUAGUUCGGAGGUUCUCUCUAGAAAAACUCGGGAAAUAAAGUGUCGGCAUGGGUAAUUAUUCUAAGAAAUCUUCGGCAGAGUGGUUUAUAGACCAAUUGAACGUUGAAAAUGCAAAAUUAGCGGCGUUUGUGCUUGUUAUUGGCUUUAUUGGUUACCACGGGAUACUACACCUUCGGUAUGGUCCUGAUUCCUGUACAUGGUUACUGACUUCAGGGAGGUAUAAGGGCGACCAUGAAUGGCAGCCUUAUGGCUGUAUGCUGCAUAGAUACUCAAAAACUGAUGCACGCCGUUGCCUCCGGUACCUGGCGUUUUGGGGGAAAUACAACAGCUUCGCUUUUAUUGGAGAUUCGCGGGUUGAACAGCUCUAUGAAUAUUUCAUAGGUGUGUUGAAAACUCGGCUAGACAUGGAUUCUUCAUACUCCACUAUAGAUCACCAUUCUCCUAACUAUACAUAUGUGGACAACAAACUUAGACUCUCCGUUACAUUUAUAUGGAGUAACGACGUGUCGAGGAAAAUGGUUGAGCAAUUCCGUACUUGGCAACAAUCCGACAAACCGCCGUCAGUUAUAAUAGCAAGCACAGGCCUACAGUUGCUAGCGACUCGCAAUACAACCGACCAAGUCAUCGACGAAUACAAGAGGAACCUAACACGAUUGGUUCAGCCCAUCGACGCUCUAGCGGUUAGAGACACUAGAAUACUCUGGAAGCUUCUGGAACCCGUGGACAGUAGCAAACAGAAGAGCCAGAAGAUCAGCAAUACUGACAUUGAUGCGUAUAAUCGAGCUGCUAUUGAGAUCCUAACCCACAGUUCUGUCAAGAUCUGGAACUCGCCGCGGCUGGUGGCGCAGGGCGCGGCGUCAGGCUCAGGGCUCCGCCUGAGCGACACGGUGCUCCGCCACUGCGCUCAAAUCCUGCUCAACAUGUUCUGCAAUGACCACAUGAACUUUAACGACGGCUCGUGUUGUGCUGCGCCUGAGCCGACUUCCAAACUACAGCUGCUUACGCAAAUUCUGUUCGCGCUAUGCGCAGUGAUAUCAGUAAUAAAGAAGCUGUGGCAAUGGACACAGACCCUACAACAGCGUCUUGGGGGGUACUCCCUAAUGUCCCCGGCGCCCGACCCCCCACCCUCCCCUCUCGCCGCUCUAGCCAAACUUGGCAUGAUCAUGGCAUAUUUCUACCUCUGUGACAGAACUAACUUCUUCAUGAAGGAGAACAAGUAUUAUUCCGAGUGGAGCUUCUGGUUACCAGUAGGCUAUGUGUUCGCGUUGGGACUGUUUUUCACAGAUGAUUCCAGGUCUAGUAGAGUCCUCCACCGCGAGCAAACGAACGAAUGGAAGGGCUGGAUGCAGCUGGUCAUCCUGGUGUACCAAGUCACAGGCGCCAGCAAAGUCCUCCCGAUAUACAUGCUCGUGCGGGCCUUGAUAUCAUCAUACUUGUUCCUCACUGGUUACGGGCACCUGUACCAUCUGUGGCAGACGGGGGACGCAGGGCUGGUCAGAUACUUCCGCGUCAUGUUCCGCUUGAAUUUCCUUACCGUGGUCCUGUGUCUCGCCAUGAACAGACCCUACCAGUUCUACAGCUUCAUACCACUCGUCUCCUUCUGGUACACUCUGUUCUUCGUGAUCUUCGCGCUACCACCGCACAUCACAAAGGCGACGUCGCACACAGUCGAGUCGAAACCCUACCAAUAUCUGUACAUAGCCAUCAAAGUGAUCGGUCUGUUGACUAUAGUGACGGUCCUAUAUAUGAGCGAGGUGUUCUUCCAGAAGAUAUUCGUCACGAGGCCCUGGAAGGCAUUGUUUGUGAACGCCGACGAUGAUAUACACCAGUGGUGGCUGCAGUGGAAGCAAGAUCGAUACUCCAUGGCCUACGGCAUAAUUUUCGCGACGGCGUACCUCCUGGCGCAACGAUACAACCUUCUAGACGACAACAACCAUAGCAACCUGUUCACACCAGGAGUCUCCCUCACCGCGACACUACUCGCCUUUAUAGGCUUAGGGAGCUACAUAACAUUCACCUUUUUCUGCACGAACACCUUUGACUGCAACGAGAUACAUUCCUACGUUGCUUUCCUCCCCAUUGUAAGCUAUAUAAUCCUAAGGAACGUAUCAGGUGCGUUAAGAAUGCGACAUUCCAGUAUGUUCGCGUGGUUUGGCACGAUCACUUUAGAACUGUUCGCCAGUCAAAGCCACAUUUGGCUGGCCGCCGACACUCAUGGAGUCCUAGUACUUAUACCAAGCGCUCCCAUAUUAAACCUAAUAUUAACUUCGUAUAUCUUCAUUUGCACAGCACACGAGAUUCACAAGUUGACUGGUAUUAUAUUACCAUAUGCAGUGCCAGAUGAUUGGAAGUUAGUAUUGAGAAAUUUCGCAAUUUUCCUAGCAGUACUUGUACCUAUAGGCAUACAUGAUGGUAUGUUUUGAACGAGUCAAUUGAAUAAUGGCUGUGUGAAAGUAUUAUUGAAAUGUAAAUAUUUGUGAUAUGAUAACGCGUGAUAUGUGAUUUUAAUUUAAACUUAAAAAACUACAAGGCAAUGUUAGUGUUUUGGCAAUGCUGAUUUUAUUUAUGUACAUGAACAAUUUGUAAUCCAAAACCAUGAAGUCUUCGAUGAGAGUGGAAGGAUCGUAGUAAGUGGAAUCCCGUGGAUUCUGCCUACCCCAACGGGAAAUGGGCGUGAUUUUAUGUAUGUGUACAAUUUAUAAUGCGUUUCAAGAACUAAGGUUUGUUCCAUUGCUUGCUCUGAUAGGCUAUCCAGAACUUAUCUGUUAGAUAGGAGCUCUACCAUACAUUUUAAAUUUAGUACUGACACACGCCACCAGUGCUCUUUUUUAAAUUGGAUAGGGACCUUAGUAUAUUUUUAUUGUAUUUCACCAUAGAGCAACUACAUGUCGCCAACCGUAUACCGCAAUAUAAUGUACCCACUUUAGGACUCUGUCGCACUAACAUAUUUGACAUUUAGUGAGACUUACAGUUCAAUCUGUCAAAGAAUUUAAUGUGACAUGGUACCAAAGUGUAUACAUAUUAAUGCUCGUGAUCGUUUCUCCAGUAGUAGUCAUCCGACAGAUAGGCAAUUAGUUUGCCAGUAAGCAGUGGAAUAAACCAAUAGUUUUUAAUUUAUUAUUUAUUUAUAUCACUACGAACACGAAGUGAGAUAAAAAGACAAAGUAAGAAACGUAACAAUAAUAAAGAGACGUCAACUAGAUAAGAGUUGGUAAUAGCAAAAAGACAUACAUUUACUGACUUAUUUUUAUUGAAUUUAAAACAUAAAUGGUUGUAUGGCUACCGUAUGUACUUGUACGGGGUGUAAGUGACAUCGUAACUAAUACUGAGAGGGAUAAUUCAGCUGAUUAUUCUGAGUUAAUAUUAAGUGGAAUUUUUCUGAAAGAAAAUAAUAAACUAUAAAAUAAUGAACUAAAAAAAAUAGUUCGAUAAAGAUAAUUAGGUAUAUUAUUUUGAUGGUCCUACGUACACCUCCAUCGGAGUAGAUAAAACCAAAGAAUUUUCCAUCGUAAAAGUUAUAGAAUUGACAACAUUUCAAAUUUUUAAGCCGUGGUUUUUUUGUGCUAUUUCGAAAGUACUUGUUUAAAUAGAAGACACGUAUUUUUUCUUUUCAAGAUUUUUCCACCAGAAGUUACAAAAAAUAUUUUUUGAAAAUUGGAUUCUGCCAUUGAUAGAAUGAAGGCAGUAUAAUGUAAUGUACCUUUGCAUGCGUAUUUAAAACAAUAGCUGUUUGAUAUUGUCUGUGGGGAUUUCGAAUGUCAUUGUCAUUCGUCUGUUUUAGCAUUUUAGGUUAAAUUAUUAAAUUCCCGUUUCCCCAUUACUUAAUAAAAAAAAGAAUGUGCAACCACGUAAAUUAGAUCCUCUAUUAUUAUUAUAUUAAAUCUAUUAUUAUUCUUCUAAUAUUAAAAAAAGUCAUGAAUUUUGCGACAGAAAAUUCCACUUCAUAUUAACUCAGAAUCAUGGUCUGAAUCAUCCCCCUGAGUAUUCGUUACGAUGUCACUAACACCCUGCAUAUGAUCAAAGGUUGAUAAACUCAAAUAAAUGUACAUGAAGAUGUGAUACUAUGAAUAUUAUGUAUAUUAUAUUUAUUUAUUUAUUCAGUAUUUCGGCGUUUAGUUAGUCCCUUUAAUCUAGUUAAAGACAUCUCUCAUCAAUACGUACAGUCAUAAGCAAUAUCAUGUACCCACUUUAGAACCCUGUCGCACUAUCAUAUUUGACAUUUAAUGAGACUUACAGUUUAAUUUGUCAAAA